rnacentral:rRNA from 1 species
ACAGUGUCUGGUGGGUAGUUUGACUGGGGCGGUCUCCUCCCAAAGCGUAACGGAGGAGCACGAAGGUUAGCUAAUCCUGGUCGGACAUCAGGAGGUUAGUGCAAUGGCAUAAGCUAGCUUGACUGCGAGCGUGACGGCGCGAGCAGGUGCGAAAGCAGGUCAUAGUGAUCCGGUGGUUCUGAAUGGAAGGGCCAUCGCUCAACGGAUAAAAGGUACUCCGGGGAUAACAGGCUGAUACCGCCCAAGAGUUCAUAUCGACGGCGGUGUUUGGCACCUCGAUGUCGGCUCAUCACAUCCUGGGGCUGAAGUAGGUCCCAAGGGUAUGGCUGUUCGCCAUUUAAAGUGGUACGCGAGCUGGGUUUAGAACGUCGUGAGACAGUUCGGUCCCUAUCUGCCGUGGGCGCUGGAGAAUUGAGGGGGGCUGCUCCUAGUACGAGAGGACCGGAGUGGACGCAUCACUGGUGUUCGGGUUGUCAUGCCAAUGGCACUGCCCGGUAGCUAAAUGCGGAAGAGAUAAGUGCUGAAAGCAUCUAAGCACGAAACUUGCCCCGAGAUGAGUUCUCCCUGAGACU